GCUAAUUUUCAUGAGGUUAGAGAGCCAGUUGAUAAUACAUGAAUAAUUCAAACUCUCCCAUUCUUUCCAUUUGGCCUCCUGCCCCCUAUUUAUACAAUAGAAUUUGUCAUUUUUUUGGAUGUGUUAGAUUUCCUCUUUGUUAUUGCGAAAUGAUUACAAUCACCCUCUAUAUAAUCCUGACAAGGCUCCCUGCAAGACCAAUAGCCCUGUGGAAGAGAGAGGCUGCUAAGACACCAUGGUAAGUGACAGGUUCAUGUUGGAAAGGGAAGAAAAGGAACACUGCUGGUUUUUUGGGAUGAGGGCAUUUGUGUUUCUGCUGAAAGCUUCCAGUGCUCCCUGGGGCUGCUUGUUGAUUUUCCUCCUGGGCUCCCUGAAGAGAGGCAGCAUGAUAUAGUGGAUGGGCAGCUGUCCUGGGAGUCAAGAAGUCCAGGAUUCUAGUCCUACCUCUCAUAUGUAUCAUUUGUCAAUAUCCUGCUUUACUAUCUUAGGCUAAAAGCAGCCAAAUAUUUCAUUUAUCUUGGCAGAGAUAGUUCCCCCUCAGUCCUCUAUUAUCCAUUGAAUAUUAUAUAUGUUAUUUUUUUUAAAAAAGCAAUUGUAAACUUUCAAUUGGCCAGGAUAGACCUUACCUAAAGUCCUUACCAUAAUGCCCCUCUUCCAGACCCCCAGCCCAGCAAGAAUCUGCCCACUUCCCCAAUAUGCCUGGACCCAUUGUAGGCAGUUCUUACUCUGUGUCGGUAUCACCUUCCCUGUCCAUUUCCCUCCUUUUAUCCCAAACCUCUUUUCUCUCCAGAGAAAUACGUUCCUAGUAGAAGAAUUCAUAGUCCUGAUCUGACUUCAAUUAUGACAUAUGAAUGGAAUGAGAGCCUUUAUGAAGUGACGAAUACAAGGGAAGCAGGAAAAUCUGGAGAAAUCUGAAUGAUCAGAUGCAGAGUGACGAUGGCAGGAAAAUAAUGUCGAUAAGUAGUAGAGAAAUGACAGAAAAGAAGAAAAUUCUAAAAAGUCUUCUAAACAAAGAUGAAAUGCGAUCAUCAAUGUUGUUUUCAAAGUAUAGAAGACAAAAUAAUACUAUACUAGGUAUUCUCCUUACCUGGACUAUCUUUGGGAUAUUAUAUGAGGCUCAGUGCAUUGAUAUUCCGUUGGAGAGCGAUAUGGAAGAUCUAAGAAAUGAUUGCAGAAAUCGUAAUCAUGACUUUAAUGAAUGGGACACUUCCUGGAUUACUGAUGACUGUGAAAUGUGUCAUUGUUCCCCGAAAGGAAUAGAUUGCACUAGCGUUAUUUUAAGGCCUAUGGGAUAUGACAAAAAGAAAUGCAAGGAAGUUUUCAAUGCAGAAGAGUGUAUUUACAAAGCUGUAGAGAAAAAUAAUCCCUCUCAAAGCUGUAAAGUCUCAAAAUAUAUUAUUUAGUCCUUCUACCUCCUUCUGUUUUUGCUGCCAAAGUCACCAUCUCCUAAUGGAACUUGUGCUCACAUGAAAUAAUGACUCUCUACUUGGAAGUCGGAACAGAAGACUGUGAGCUAUGUGGGCUGGACCUUGGAUUUCCAUUCUCUUGAAGGUCUUGUCAUGUCUCAGGCACUCUGAUUCAGACCACAGAGUGCCACCUCUCGGCCUCCUGAAAGUUGUAUAAGUACCUCCUGUAACCUGUUGUCUAAUGAAUAACUCAAGAAAAUAUAUGUUCCCCUAGAAUGAAAUGGAAUUCUGCUCUUUUCCCUUAUAGCAAUCGACAUCCAAAGUCAUUAUGGUGGUGGGCGAUUUCAUUAUGUUCUUUCUCAGAGGUAAUCCCUAGGAAGUACUCUUUGGGCUAUUAGACUGAAUUUUUUUUGUUUUUGUUUUUAUGUCUACUCAGCUCCCAGAUCUGUGUUUGGGAAUCCUGGCACCACAAACCUGGUAGAAUCAGGAUUCUAAAGAAUGUAGGAGAAAAUGGAAAGAGGGAUAUCAUGUUCAAGGUGGUAUAUUUACCAAUGAUGACUUUCAGUUGGGUAGCAAGACAAAAGAUAUCAUGUACGUGUAGGAAUGAUAGGAUCCUUAUGUUGUAGGGAUUGAUAGGUCCCCUACAUUAUAGAGACUCCGAGUAAAGAAUCAAAUACAUUGAAGAUACCUGAAUGAACUAGAAAUGACCUAGGGCUGAACCUGGAAUAUGUUUCAUCAGCAGAACAUGUUAUGAGAUGUCCUCUUAUGUAUGUUUUCCUGCAUCUUAUCGAUAUCCCCGAAUACUGCAAUCACAGAGUACAUUGUACCCACUAGAUGAAUAUCUUGAGAGGAUGCUUUGUUAUCCUCAAGACUCUCUGUGAUUGGCUAUAUGUUCCUAUGAACAUAUUACAUAAAAUCAUGUGGAUGGAUAUGUUUAGGUAGGAAUCCAACUGUGUAUAAAUAUCAUUACUCCCUUCAAUAAAGUUCCCUUUGAUUGCCA
rnacentral:lncRNA from 1 species